rnacentral:rRNA from 1 species
AGCGAACGCUGGCGGCAGGCCUAACACAUGCAAGUCGAACGAACUCUUCGGAGUUAGUGGCGGACGGGUGAGUAACACGUGGGAACGUGCCUUUUGGUUCGGAAUAACUCAGGGAAACUUGUGCUAAUACCGAAUGUGCCCUUCGGGGGAAAGAUUUAUCGCCAUUAGAGCGGCCCGCGUCUGAUUAGCUAGUUGGUGAGGUAACGGCUCACCAAGGCGACGAUCAGUAGCUGGUCUGAGAGGAUGACCAGCCACACUGGGACUGAGACACGGCCCAGACUCCUACGGGAGGAAGCAGUGGGGAAUCUUGCGCAAUGGGCGAAAGCCUGACGCAGCCAGGCCGCGUGAAUGAUGAAGGUCUUAGGAUUGUAAAAUUCUUUCACCGGGGACGAUAAUGACGGUACCCGGAGAAGAAGCCCCGGCUAACUUCGUG